rnacentral:misc_RNA from 1 species
AAGUCGUAACAAGGUUUCCGUAGGUGAACCUGCGGAAGGAUCAUUAAUGAAAUGCUAGGAUGCUCUUUUUAGGGGUCCGAUUCAAUUCAUUUUCCAACACUGUGCACUCACUACUUUUUUACACCCAUUUUAUCAACUCUAUAAGUUUAUAAGAAUGUAUAAAGUCUCUUGAUUGAGCAUAAAUAAAGUAAUAAAACUUUCGGCAACGGAUCUCUUGGCUCUC